rnacentral:piRNA from 1 species
UAGUUCUUAUUGAAGUAGCCACUAUCUC